GGGAAUUCAGCCUCCCCGGGCAUCCCCAGUGCUGCUUCCUCGCUGAUGCUGAUGAGGAGGUGGAGGGUGAAUGAAACACGGACGUGGCUGCUGAAAACUUCCCAGCGGAUCUGGGAAUGACAUCAUGCCCUGCUUGGUCCCCACCGCUGUCACUGGCAGCUCUGAGCUGGCCCAGCGAGCCCCUGUCACAGCCCUGCCAGCUCAGCCGUGCCAGCAGGAGCGGGGACACGCCAGGGAUGGCUGGGAUCACACUUGGAGAGAGCUCAGGCAGCCCAACCUUCCGCAGCUGAGGGGGCAAAUGGGCUUGAGAGCAACGACCCAAGGGACAGAGGCUCAGGUCCUUGUCACCUGCCUGUGAGGACAGCCAGCUGCACCUGGGAAGGGGCUGUGCAGGUGAGGGGCUGGGCAGUGCCACCACAACGAGGAGCAGAAGGAAAUGUCCCGCCCAAAACCCUCUCUGGUCCCAGAGCCCCCGGGUGACCCUGGGCAGGGCCAGAGCUGGGGGUGGCCCCAGGCUGAGCUGGAGCUGUUUUGUAACAGCCUCCCCUGGGGACAGAUCACACCACACCCCCGAACGCCUCCGGAGGGGCACGGGGGUGACCAAAUGAAUUGACACCAGGCAA